UACGAGGGGGGCAAGCGUUGUUCGGAAUUAUUGGGCGUAAAGAGCUCGUAGGCGGUCUGUCGCGUCUGCUGUGAAAACUCGGGGCUUAACCCCGGGCCUGCAGUGGGUACGGGCAGACUAGAGUGCGGUAGGGGAGACUGGAAUUCCUGGUGUAGCGGUGAAAUGCGCAGAUAUCAGGAGGAACACCGGUGGCGAAGGCGGGUCUCUGGGCCGUAACUGACGCUGAGGAGCGAAAGCAUGGGGAGCGAACAGG
rnacentral:rRNA from 1 species